rnacentral:SRP_RNA from 1 species
GCCAGGCAUGGUGGCAUGUGCCUGUAAUCCCAGCUACUUGGGAGGCUGAGGCAGGAGAAUUGCUUGAACCCAGGAAGUGGAAGUUGCAGUGCGCUGAGAUCCCGCCACUGCACUCCAGCCUGGGUGACAGAGCAAGACUCUGUCUCCA